UGUAACAAAUGUUUGGACCGCUGUGUGUUUUUAAUCUCAUAAAUUAGAGAUGGUUUAAAAUAUUAUUAUUAUCGAAAAUAAUAUGCAAGCAUAUUAUGUUUGUGUGUUUCUCGUUAUAUUGACUUAAACGUCUAUGAAACCUCACACUGUUUUUAUCAUAUUAGAUAAGGCUGUUUGCCCUAACUAAAAGGCCAAAGAUCAUGUUUGCGCGUUAUCUCGGUACAGCUUAGGUCAUCCGUUAGCGCUCGCCGACCUUUGCGCGCGCAACCGAUAUAUUUAUGUAAGAGCCGACGUACUCAACGCGCCAGUUCUCCGUCGGACAGAUAGCCGAACGAUCUUGGGCAGCCGGAGUUCACCAUUAUAAUUUUGCAUCCCUCGGCGGAUCCUUAAGUACGGCCACUAUUGUACGGGACAUCGCCCGAUUCACAUUUUAGAACUACAGUUUGUGACAGUAGGCUAAAAUCAAAAGGCGGUUGUUGGAAACAUGUGCAAGCCAGAUAUUAGUGUCAUCGAAAGAUUUAUGAAUGACUUCGAAAUACCUCCUGGCCAGACGAAUUUGACACGUCAUCAAGACAAGUCUAAGUAACUAAACAUAAUGUAACAAAUUAAUAAUUAUAAUAAUUAAUAAAUAGCUACCAUGUAAUAUACCUAUAUAUUUAUAUAAUAUUAUAGCUAGAUCAUAGUAAAAUGUAUAGGUUUUUGUUUAAAUAAUAAAAUUAAUGACCAAUGAGCAAAGUAUUUAAACUACUAUCAAGAGGCUGUUGGUACAAUAUUUAUUUUCUCUCUUAGACCCACGUACAACACAGAUAAAAUGCAUUCAUGUAAAAUUGUUUUUUAUGAUUUUUAGUAAUCUUAGAAUAAAAUAACCCAUAAAAAAAUUAUAGUGAAUAAUAUUAUAACUGAGGGUUUUACAUAUCAGUUUUAUAUUUCAUUAUUA
rnacentral:misc_RNA from 1 species